UACGUAGGGGGCGAGCGUUGUCCGGAUUCAUUGGGCGUAAAGAGCUCGUAGGCGGCUCAGUAAGUCGGGUGUGAAACCCUCAGGCUCAACCUGGGGACGCCACUCGAUACUGCUGUGGCUAGAGUCCAGUAGAGGAGUGUGGAAUUCCUGGUGUAGCGGUGAAAUGCGUAGAUAUCAGGAGGAACACCGGUGGCGAAGGCGGCUGCCUGGCCUAAGACUGACGCUGAGGUGCGAAAGCGUGGGGAGCGAACGGG
rnacentral:rRNA from 1 species